rnacentral:rRNA from 1 species
UACGGGAGGGGCAGCAGUGGGGAAUAUUGCACAAUGGGACGCAAGCCUGAUGCAGCCAUGCCGCGUGUAUGAAGAAGGCCUUCGGGUUGUAAAGUACUUUCAGCGGGGAGGAAGGGAGUAAAGUUAAUACCUUUGCUCAUUGACGUUACCCGCAGAAGAAGCACCGGCUAACUCCGUGCCAGCAGCCGCGGUAAUACGGAGGGUGCAAGCGUUAAUCGGAAUUACUGGGCGUAAAGCGCACGCAGGCGGUUUGUUAAGUCAGAUGUGAAAUCCCCGGGCUCAACCUGGGAACUGCAUCUGAUACUGGCAAGCUUGAGUCUCGUAGAGGGGGGUAGAAUUCCAGGUGUAGCGGUGAAAUGCGUAGAGAUCUGGAGGAAUACCGGUGGCGAAGGCGGCCCCCUGGACGAAGACUGACGCUCAGGUGCGAAAGCGUGGGGAGCAAACAGGAUUAGAUACCCUG